rnacentral:tRNA from 2 species
GUUUUAAUAAUUUAAGAAAAAUUUUAAUCUUGUAAAUUAAAUUUAAGCUAAGCUUUUAAAACA